rnacentral:lncRNA from 1 species
GUCCCUAGAACUUGUCAUCAACUUGACCAAAACUGUUUAGAAUUCUUCUUCAGAACAAUACUCUACUUAGACACGGAUAGUGUAGAUUAAGUGAUGCCACCAGAGACUCACGACUGGGAUAACUGGGGGUACCUCAGAAAACCUCGAGGGUCCUGUUGACAAUCACCCAAUCUGAAGUCUGAGAUAAAUGAUCCAUUGUGUGUCAUUGAAGACUUCUAAUGAAGGAACUGACAGGCUGUAGGAAUUACUGAGCUAUUAGAUCAUCUCAGAGAAAGUGUGAUACUCAAUGUAUGUCUCCUUUUUUCCUCUACAAAAGUGAUGAUUCAUACAUAAUCAAAGAAAUGCCAUUUCAACAGUAUGGCUGGAAUUUUGAAAAUCUCUAGCAGCUUGUCUUUUUUUCAGUAGACUAAUAAAUUUUACCUUUUUUUUU